GCAGCGAUGUGGAGGCAAACCCCUAAAAAACUAGGUCUCAGUUCAGAUUGCAGGCUGCAACCCGCCUGCAUGAAGUCGGAAUUGCUAGUAAUCGCGGAUCAGCAUGCCGCGGUGAAUACGUUCCCGGGGCCUUGUACACACCGCCCGUCACACCAUGGGAGCCGGUAAUACCCGAAGUCAGUAGUCCAACCUCGUGAGGACGCUGCCGAAGGUAGGAUUGGCGACUGGGGUGAAGUCGUAACAAGGUAUC
rnacentral:rRNA from 1 species